rnacentral:rRNA from 1 species
UUCGCCCUUUUCCGGUUGAUCCUGCCGGACCUGACUGCUAUCGGAUUGAUACUAAGCCAUGCGAGUCAUUGUAGCAAUACAAGGCAGACGGCUCAGUAACGCGUAGUCAACCUAACCUAUGGACGGGAAUAACCUCGGGAAACUGAGAAUAAUGCCCGAUAGAACACUAUACCUGGAAUGGUUUGUGUUCCAAAUGAUUUAUCGCCGUAGGAUGGGACUGCGGCCUAUCAGUUUGUUGGUGAGGUAAUGGCCCACCAAGACUAUUACAGGUACGGGCUCUGAGAGGAGUAGCCCGGAGAUGGGUACUGAGACACGGACCCAGGCCCUAUGGGGCGCAGCAGGCGAGAAAACUUUGCAAUGUGCGAAAGCACGACAAGGUUAAUCCGAGUGAUUUGUGCUAAACGAAUCUUUUGUUAGUCCUAGAACCACUAACGAAUAAGGGGUGGGCAAGUUCUGGUGUCAGCCGCCGCGUUAAAACCAGCACCUCAAGUGGUCAGGAUGAUUAUUGGGCCUAAAGCAUCCGUAGCCGGCUCUGUAAGUUUUCGGUUAAAUCUGUACGCUUAACGUACAGGCUGC